UGUCCCCCAGUGGUACAGGGGAGCUUCCCAGGCUGGCUGUGCCCCACUACUCACCCUGGGAGGUUUCUGGGAGAUGGGCACGUGGUGAUGGGUGGGACGUGCCGCUCGAUCACGUCGCUGGAGUGGGAACCUGAGAGAGGAGGUAAACGGAUUGGGCUGGUGUAUAAAGGGGUGCAGAGGAAACUGACAGUGCGGGCAGGAUCCUGUGAGAGCUGAUGUGGGCUGUGCUCCUGUUGCUGCUUUAAUUCAUCAUCACUGGAGCAUGUAAAACCAGGACAGUUGCUGGAGCUGCAGCGCAUGAAUCACCCUUUGAGAGAAACGUGCCCCUGCGUGCUCCGACAAGCCCUCCUUUUCAAAGUGCCGUUGUCAAACCUGGCUUGCUGAGAGCGUGGAUCCAAAAACCUCUCACUGCAAAGGCACAAGGUUUCGCCCUGUUACUUCUGCUUCCUACCCAAGAGAGGAGCCAGGCUUUCUCCAGAAACUGUCUCCAGAACAUCCUUUAUGGGACAUGCUGAUAGCAAGAUAGGAAGCCACUCCACCCAGUGCUGCUCUUCCAGCUGAGCAUCCAUCACAGACAUCAACAUCCUGGGAAUAAGCCAACAAGAGCUGGAAAACUCA